AUACUUACCUGGCAGGGGAGAUGCCAUGAUCAUGGAGGUGGUUUUCCAGGGCCAGACUUAUCUAUCGAACUCCAGAUGUGCUGACCCAUGCGAUUUCCCUAAAUGUGGGAAACUCAACUCUGUAAUUUGUGGUAGUGGGGGACUGUGUUUGUACUUUCCCCUU
ensembl:snRNA U1 U1 spliceosomal RNA